GACGAACGCUGGCGGCGUGCUUAACACAUGCAAGUCGAACGCUGAAGCUUGGUGCUUGCACUGGGUGGAUGAGUGGCGAACGGGUGAGUAAUACGUGAGUAACCUGCCCUUGACUCUGGGAUAAGCCUGGGAAACUGGGUCUAAUACUGGAUACGACAUGUCACCGCAUGGUGGCGUGUGGAAAGGGUUUUACUGGUUUUGGAUGGGCUCGCGGCCUAUCAGCUUGUUGGUGGGGUAAUGGCUCACCAAGGCGACGACGGGUAGCCGGCCUGAGAGGGUGACCGGCCACACUGGGACUGAGACACGGCCCAGACUCCUACGGGAGGCAGCAGUGGGGAAUAUUGCACAAUGGGCGAAAGCCUGAUGCAGCGACGCCGCGUGAGGGAUGACGGCCUUCGGGUUGUAAACCUCUUUCAGCACGGAAGAAGCGAAAGUGACGGUACGUGCAGAAGAAGCGCCGGCUAACUACGUG
rnacentral:rRNA from 1 species